CAAGAUUCUCUAUAUACCAUCCAUGGUUUGUUUUUUUGUAGUGUUUCAUUUUGUAAAUAGAUUAAGCUGAAAUGUAUCUUCUAAAUAUUAUAUUUGUAUAUUAUAUAUUACGUCUAUGGAAAAAGAAAGCACUUUGUUAAAAGAAAAAGUGGAAAAUACAAACAUAAAGUAAAUAUUUUUUUCCUUCCAUUUGCUGCUAAACCGACCUUGUUUGAAUGCUGCAGUGAGUGCUUGACUUCUGUAACCUGAUCAGGACAGUGUGUUGGGGAGGUCUUAAGAGGGCAAUUAACAUUUUGGUUAUAAGGCCCUAUGUUUUGAAUGACUCUGAGUCUAACGUCAUGAAUUAAUUUGCCUUCAGUAGAGAUUUCCUAUGGAAAAACAAAUUCUGCUUUGGGUUUUUCUUCAGGUUGAUGUACAGUGUAGACUCAUUUCUUCUGGGCAUUUGCCAGAGUUAUAUUGUUAUAAUUUUUUUAGUAAUUUGUACUUGUAACUUAAUGGGGAGGGGGAGACUGAGGUACUCACAAAGGCCCAUGUCCUUUUGUGAGUGCCUCAGAAGGAAAACUAUCAAUGUACUGUAUGGCAAGUAAUUUGUGGUGGAAAUGUAAUCCGGAUACUUUUUGCCUUUUCAAACACCCAUCCAUUCACGUAAGAUGGCCAAUAGUUGGUUCAAUUGCACAGCAGUGUUGCUGUGGAAACCGAUCUCAGCCAACAUUGUACAGUCUACAACCAAGAUCUUCAACCUGGUGAUAUGCUCAAAUUAAUGAUGGCCUCUCCAUUGGGAUCAUUGAUGGCAAGUGAGGUUGAGUUAGGGGAAUUGAUGUUAUGUAAGAUGCUAGUAAAACCUCUAUCUAGAAAGAGUGCUGUGAGUAGCUGAUUCCAGCAUCAGAGGUGUUUCCACGCAGGUUUUCACAUUUAACAUGAUGGGCGCAAGCUGUGCAACUUUACAUUCUAGCCAGGAGACUCUGUGGCAUUUUAACAUUCAAGGAAGUGGUUGUCAUUCAAAGCCAGUAAAUAUUCCUUCUGCUCUAUUGACAUCAAACAUAUAUAAACAGAUAUUAAGCUAAUAGAUAGUGUAAUUAUGUGCUACUCUCGUCUGAUAAUUGAAUCCAUUAUGGUCUUUUCUGCAGCGAAUCAGGGUAACUACCAUUCUUCUAUCAGAAAUAUAUGUAACGAAAUAUUAAAUCAAAGGAAAAUAUAUUUAUGUAAUCAAAUUGUUGCGAUUUAUUUCUGCAGUUCAAUAAUAUUGUGUGCGUUAAUGGAGAAUCGAUGUAAAACAAAAUGGUGCGAUGGAUAAGAAUAGUCAACGGCCAAUGGACUUGUAAGUAGAAAUAUUUUUCCUAGAUUUGCUUUUCUUUAUACUCUUAACAUGUUUAAACAUACAAAAAUGUAUUUUUCAAAAGGGAAAUAAUUUUGCUUUAUAGUUUUGAUCCAACCUGGGUUUUACCAUGCUGCUGGUCAUCUAUGGUUGGUAAUUCCUAAAUGUUUAAUGUCUGAAAUAUUAUCGUUUAUGAUACAUUACAUAGACCUUUUUUAUUUUCUAACAAGUGGUCACAUUUGAGUCAACCUUAUGCUAUAGUCUUAGACCUUCUGCUAAGUCUAUAGAUGUCUAAUGGCAGCGUUACCCAACAGUUAGAUCACAAUGUGAAUGUGACCAUACUCGAUUUGUUCCAAAUGGCUACAGUAGACUAGAGAGGAGGCGGCAAGCGUGUCUUGUCCACUUUUUUCUUCAGUUCCUGAUAUGAUUUUGGCUUGCUUUUGUAUGUAGUGGUUUGUAGUGUGUGAUGACAAUGUUUAUAAAUGGUGCACUAUGCAGGUCUUACUUGUGUCAGUAAGACAGUGUUUCUUUAGUUUUCUGCUGUUUCGUGUCUGAGCAGACCAUUUUAUUUGAUGUUCUACAAAGACAUUUACUCUGUCUCCAUAACCCGAUGGAGUUGUUCCUAGUGGUGAAAGGCAGGUGGGGAUUGGAGGUAUUUCCUCUGAAAUGGAGGAGCCGUGCGUGUGUAACGGAGAAAGGCCUGUCUUGUCCAACACUGCUAAAUUGACAUGUGCUUCUUUCCAUCUUAUCUAACCAGUGGAAUGCUUUUGUGUUUUUUGUUUUAAACUGUCAUUUUAAAGGACCCUGUAAAAUGCAUUCUGCCAUUACAUAUACCUUUUCCCCUACACCCACAGUGUCUAUAGAAAUUCAACACUUUUAUAGCAAAUUGUCAUGGGCUGUAUUUUAACUUUUCUUCAAUGCUUAAGUAUUGCAGAAGCAUUUCGAAAAGCCUCGUUUCAUGUCAUAACUUGCUCAACUUCCCCUAUUGCUUGUAGAAAUCCUCAUACUCCAAGGUUCUAUGCUUUAUUUGUAGUAUAACCAUUUUCAUGUAAUAUAUUGUUUGAUAAAUACAUGCAGCGAAUAUUUCAUAGGGAAUGAACAUCGUGCAUGAAAAUCUCACUCAUCUAAUGUAUUUGUUUAUUGGUAAAACAUUUACUAGCAAUGGGUGCGUCUUCACCCUGAGUCCAAGGAUUUUGUAAGUCUCGGACUAUAUUCAAGAUAUUUCAACAUAAAAGAAUGAGCGCAAAGAGAUUUUGUUUUGGAUGUUGAUCAAUAUAUUCAGACCAAACUAUUUUCCAUUGCUUACCCACUGUUAUGACAACAAAUAGUACAAACAGAAGCAUACCCACAUUGCACUUGGUUUUACAAAAUGUCAAACAUUAUUUUUAAUACAAUGCCUGCUAAACCAGGUGCCUUACAAAAAAAUAAAUAAUCCAAACUUGAUCUACACCCUUCAAAGUCUUGGAAGUUUUGUAUGGAUACAAGAUUUACUAUCUUUCUGCCCACGAUGCUAAGAAUUCUGACAUUUACUCUGUCUGGUGUUUUAACAGUGUAGAGUGGUGAUCUCAUGUACUUAUGAAAAUUGUUGCUGCUUUGCCUCAGACAGUUUUCUUAUAAGUUGAAUGUAGUCUUCCUGCGAAGGAUUCAAUUCAAUAUAAGGAUGUGUUCAUACUCAAAAAUAUCCUAGUGUAACACUGGGUGAGAGAGACUAUCCAAAGAGUGCUGCAAUCAUGAGUCGGAGGAACUUUGUCGUCCUUAUUUCUGUCAACCUUUUAUUAUUUCUUUGGUAUUUAUGCUUUAAAUCUGUAAGUUGUUGCACAUGUUUGAAUUUGUAGAUUUUUUUGUGCCUUUUGUACUUUCCGACUUGCCAUACCAUUUUAUUUUAUUAUAUUUACUUUUAACCUAAAGAAAUUACGUACAGGAAUUAUUUUAGAUAUUCAUGAUACUGGAGCGAGCUAUACGUUCUUGCUGAAAUACAUUUAGCAGACCCAGAGCACCAAUGAUUUAUUUUUUUAUAUAGAACCAGUAGAUCUGCUUUGCAAAGACGAUGUCCAACCUUUUCUAACCUAUUGUGUCCCCUCACAAAUUAUGAAGAUAAUUGUGCCUCUUUGUUCAUCAUUUUCUACUGUUCCACAAACGGCUGGGUUGCACUUUACCUGGAGCAGUGGCGCAUACAAGCAGGUGGCCUUUAGCAGCCGUUCUGAACAAAUACGGUUUGAAAUAACUCUUAAUGACACACUGAGGUUUGCAUUGUUCAACUUUAGAUCUAUAUUAACCAUGGAGCUCCAGGAAACAAACCUCUGCAUAAAUAUUUUUCACUAGAGACCGAGGUAGGCAAGGUCUUAAACAUGGCAACCCCUGUAUAACACUUAAAGCGAUGAUAAUCGUGACGUGGUGGGCCUCUGCACAUAAUCAGUUUCCUUGAUUUUUUUUCCCCCAAUUUUCUCCAAAGUGGUGCCACUGCACAGUUCCCUUUUAUAUCACCUAAGGUUGAAGGGAGCACUAAUUGGAGAGUGAGUUUUAAACAAACAAUGCAAACAGCUGAUAGGAGUCACCACUCACCAGCCAUGGUGCUGAAUCUCAGACGUACUUGAGCUCACUCAAGAGCUGCCACUCGGCUCCUGUUGCCAUGUUUGCACGCUGCGUGGGAGCGUUGCAACUCUUUACCAGUUCCCAGAGAACUUCUUUGGACAGUGACUGAUUUGCUUUAAGACCUGCACUAGCCACUGAGGUAUCAGUGCCAAUAAGGCCUUGUCCUCAGUAAUGGUCACCGACGACCAUGUUUGAAUUUGAUUGAAGUGGAUUGGCCAGUGGUGGUGCUUUUAAUAGGAUUAUUUUUACUUCAGGAAAGGCAUAGAGAUCGGUUAGAGUCGCUAGGGCUGCUGGGCAGAGAUCUCUCAUCCCUGCACUGAAGUGUUGAGGUAUGUACUCCUGCAUGUGACGCAUGCAGACCAAUUCAAUGAUUACCAAUGCCGCUGAGAAAAUGGGUAUAACCCUCUUUCCAAACACCAUAAACACAUCAUAUUCACACUGCAAUGAUAUACAUUUCCUUCCAAACUUGCCAAAUGCAUGGAGUGAGAGGGAAAUGUACCUAACAUUUAUUUGUGUUUUUUGUAAGGUUAACUCCAAAUUAUUUUGGAAAAUCCUUACAACUCUCGACGAGUUCUAUUGAAAACCCAUUCUAAAAACGACACAAUUCCUGCCCUUGAUGUAAUGCUUCUGAUGUAUGGUAUUUAAAUUGAUCGUUUAGCAUGUAGUAGUGUGUGUACUCCCCAAGUGUAGAAUAUUUGUCACAGUAGGAAGGCUGUAUGUCAUUGCUAAGUUCUCUGUAAUAGAUCUCUUGGUGAUAUUCAUAAGAAAAUCUGCAGAAGUAUAUCUUGCUGAAACUAACAGUAACUUGAUCCUAUUAGCAAUGUAUAUUUGUAGUUCAAAUGCUUGUUCAAAUACAUUAUCUUGACAGUUGUCAUAUGUGUUUUAAAUGUUGUGCUGGGUUUAUACUUUUGUUGUACUCUUUUUUUUUCUUUUUUUUUGGAGGCACAAUUAGUUGGAGAACUGUUAUGGAUAAUGCGCCUUGAAACUGUACAGAUGUGAUUUAGGCUAGGUUCAGUUGUGAACUGGCAGGUAGCCUAGUAUUUAGUGUCGGGCCAGUAACCGAAAGGUUGCUGGAUCGAAUCCCCGAGCUGACAAGGUAAAAAAUCUGUUGUUCUGCCCCUGAACAAGGCAGUGUUCCCUAGUAGGCCGUCAUUGUA
rnacentral:lncRNA from 1 species